AGACCCGAAACCCGGUGAUCUAGCCAUGGGCAGGUUGAAGGUUGGGUAACACUAACUGGAGGACCGAACCGACUAAUGUUGAAAAAUUAGCGGAUGACCUGUGGCUGGGGGUGAAAGGCCAAUCAAACCGGGAGAUAGCUGGUUCUCCCCGAAAGCUAUUUAGGUAGCGCCUCGUGAACUCAUCUCCGGGGGUAGAGCACUGUUUCGGCUAGGGGGCCAUCCCGGCUUACCAACCCGAUGCAAACUGCGAAUACCGGAGAAUGUUAUCACGGGAGACACACGGCGGGUGCUAACGUCCGUCGUGAAGAGGGAAACAACCCAGACCGCCAGCUAAGGUCCCAAAGUCAUGGUUAAGUGGGAAACGAUGUGGGAAGGCCCAGACAGCCAGGAUGUUGGCUUAGAAGCAGCCAUCAUUUAAAGAAAGCGUAAUAGCUCACUGGUCGAGUCGGCCUGCGCGGAAGAUGUAACGGGGCUAAACCAUGCACCGAAGCUGCGGCAGCGAACGUAUCACCCAAGACAACUUUGCGGAGUUGACGAUUGACGGAGCGAAGCGACGUCAAAGCGUUCAUUAAAGUCGAGUUGGCUUAGGGAUACGUUCGUUGGGUAGGGGAGCGUUCUGUAAGCCAGUGAAGGUGUGUCGUGAGGCAUGCUGGAGGUAUCAGAAGUGCGAAUGCUGACAUAAGUAACGAUAAAGCGGGUGAAAAGCCCGCUCGCCGGAAGACCAAGGGUUCCUGUCCAACGUUAAUCGGGGCAGGGUGAGUCGACCCCUAAGGCGAGGCCGAAAGGCGUAGUCGAUGGGAAACGGGUUAAUAUUCCCGUACUUGGUGUUACUGCGAAGGGGGGACGGAGAAGGCUAUGUUGGCCGGGCGACGGUUGUCCCGGUUUAAGCGUGUAGGUGUGUGUUCCAGGUAAAUCCGGUUCACUUUAACACUGAGGCGUGAUGACGAGGCACUACGGUGCUGAAGCAACAAAUGCCCUGCUUCCAGGAAAAGCCUCUAAGCAUCAGGUAACAUCAAAUCGUACCCCAAACCGACACAGGUGGUCAGGUAGAGAAUACCAAGGCGCUUGAGAGAACUCGGGUGAAGGAACUAGGCAAAAUGGUGCCGUAACUUCGGGAGAAGGCACGCUGACACGUAGGUGAAGUGAUUUACUCAUGGAGCUGAA
rnacentral:rRNA from 1 species